UACAGAGGUGGCAAGCGUUGUUCGGAAUUACUGGGCGUAAAGGGCGCGUAGGCGGCCUUCUAAGUCAGACGUGAAAUCCCCAGGCUUAACUUGGGAACUGCGUCUGAUACUGGGAGGCUUGAGUGCGGGAGAGGGACGUGGAAUUCCAGGUGUAGCGGUGAAAUGCGCAGAUAUCAGGAGGAACACCAAGUGCGAAGGCAGCUCGCUGGGACGUUACUGACGCUGAGACGCGAAAGCGUGGGGAGCAAACAGG
rnacentral:rRNA from 1 species